rnacentral:lncRNA from 1 species
AUUAGUUGUAUUUUUUUUUUAAAACUCAAGUUCAUGUAUUCAACUUCAUCUUCAUCAUAUACAUUCUCCUCCACCAUGACACUGCAAACUCUCUCGGCUGGCGGCUGCUGCUCUGCAAACUCAACUUCUCCAACAUCCAACCGACGACGGGUGACAACAGAUUCCGUAAUCACGCAUCCCCCGGUCUAUUUUCGGAAUUAUUGGUAAGUAAUUUAUUUUCCCCAAAAUCCGUAGACAACGAGAUGGCAUGUUGGUUCUGUUAUUAACUCGUUUUCCUGUUUUGGAUGAGAUUCAAAUUGGGUUCUUUGUCUAUUUGUUGCUAUAUCUUGAUUCUUGAAGACUCGAACUUUGAAGCGUAUCAUGGAAUUCAUGUUUUUGGUGAAUGAAAUUCUGAAAUUCAUCCAUUAAUGAUUAAUCCUGCCAUCCAUGUUUAACUGAUGAAGUAAUUUAACAGCAAGUUAAUUGAGCAAUUGUUCUAAGGUGAGCUGCGAUGUUACGGAAUGGCUAUGUGCAAACCUCAAAUUAAAGUAACCAAAUAUAGAAGACUUUCAUUACAGAAGGAUAAGGACAUAAUUAUAGGUUAUCUAUGAAUGAUCACACCCGAACAGAAUAUCCCCAAAUCUAACUUCAAAUUCCCCUGCCCUCAACUCCCUCAUCAAAGCAAUGAGGGAUGAUUCAACUCUGCUGGCAUAUGAGGCCUUAUAUAGGUUGGGUUGGAUGAAAAAACCUGAUGCUAACCCUACAUUAAAAGCUGUUGUAAAUAAUCUUUCCUUGCAUCCCAUUGUUCGCCUAAAGGCCGCAGAAUCUCUUGGUGUAUUUGGUUUAGAGACAAGUAUUUUUGGUGUGGUCGGAGUAAAUAAUUAGAAUCUGUUUGUUAUUUUAUUAUUCAGGCACAAGACUUUCUUGUAUCUCAGUUUUUAUAUAUCCAUUUCAACUUGGUUGACCGAUUACUUCACUCUCUAUCUACACAGAUUUCUCUUUAAUUAUUCAUGGUUUAUAAGUGUUUUGAGAUUUCAAAAUUAAUGCUUGCAGAAUUUAUUUUUAGAACACGUUUUGAUUAGCAUUUUCCCUUUUAUUUGUAUUGAUGAUUAGAAUGAGGUUUUACUUAUAUUGAUUUUUCUAUAUACAAUCAAUUAUACACGUCCAUUGCCAAUUUGAUUGGAGAAGUUGCUAUAACCAUACUGAAGGAAUAUGUACAGUUCACUAAAGGCAUGUAUAAAGCUUGACUUUUCUACUUGCAGACAAUAAUGGAUUUUUAAUUUCUUGAGUUCAUAUGGGUAUUCUUUUAUGGUUUUAUGCAAUUUGAUUAGUUGAACUAAGUGUCUUCCUAUUGAACCCAUGCUAAAGGUUAUUAUAAACUCUAUUAAUUAAGAUAUUUGUUUAUGAGGCACGGUGCACCAAUUUUUGAGCCACUUAAAUUUUUGAAAUUUUGCAUUGUGCACCGAUUUAAGUAAUUGAAUUAGAUGUAGAACAUGAGAAAAAUUUGUGUCACUUUUCUUGCCAAUUUAACAUCCUUUUUAAGGCAUAAAAAUUUAAUGCACUGUUUUGUUUAUAAUCCCCCUUUUUUAAUUAUUGGUUAUGGGUGCAUUAAUUAUGGGUUGAAUAGGAUGUGACUUGUGAAUUCUUGAUUUGCAUUCAAUGAUUUUCCAGUAGGCUUUAAUUGUUAAAGUUUACUGGUUGAAUACGUUGUGACUAAUUAUUAUUAAUUAUUAGUUAAAAUAUCUUGUAGGGGCUAUAGACAGAGUUUUGAAUAACAGAGCUUUCUACAAUUCAAAUUGCAAAAAGGUAAGUUCGUAAACGGAAGAUAUGGGGAUUGUGCAUGCAAAUUAGAGUAUGCAUGCAUGCAUGCAUCUUUUAUUUCUCGUGUACGGUUGUGUUAUGUAUCUUGCAUAUUUUUGAUUUUAUGGACUGUUUUAUAUCUCUUGUGGAUUGUGUUUGUAGGAUGAGAUGGGGACUGGUGCAUCCAAAUUUUAAAAUGGAUGUUACCAAAUGAUUUCAUAUAUAGUCAAGACCUAUACAAGACUCAAUAUUUUUUACCAUGUCAACUACCUUCCAAUGUAUGCAGUAAAGAGAAAGAGUUAGCAGCAAAACAUGCUACUUGAAAGUUUGAAUAUGCAAUUCGAGUGAAGAUGGAGCAAAUGAUACAAAACAAGUUGAAGGAAGUUGAGCAACAAUUCAAUUAUACGUUGUGAGAACUAGCACUAGCAGCAUAUCUAUUUCUUUUUUUAAAUGCGUAAUAAUAGAUAUAGAUUAUUUUUGCUACUACUUUUAAGUUUAGAUGUAACCAUACUUAAAGCCCGUUUAAUACCUAUUUUUUUCAAAAUGCAUUUUUCCCUCUCUUCUUUUCAACUACACAUUUUUUAUUAAAAUAAU